AACGAACGCUGGCGGCAUGCCUAACACAUGCAAGUCGAACGAGACCUUCGGGUCUAGUGGCGCACGGGUGCGUAACGCGUGGGAACCUGCCUUUAGGUUCGGAAUAACUCAGAGGAAUUUGAGCUAAUACCGGAUGAUGUCUUCGGACCAAAGAUUUAUCGCCUUUAGAUAGGCCCGCGUUGGAUUAGCUAGUUGGUGGGGUAAAGGCCUACCAAGGCGACGAUCCAUAGCUGGUCUGAGAGGAUGAUCAGCCACACUGGGACUGAGACACGGCCCAGACUCCUACGGGAGGCAGCAGUGGGGAAUAUUGGACAAUGGGCGAAAGCCUGAUCCAGCAAUGCCGCGUGAGUGAUGAAGGACUUAGGGUUGUAAAGCUCUUUUACCCGAGAUGAUAAUGACAGUAUCGGGAGAAUAAGCUCCGGCUAACUCCGUG
rnacentral:rRNA from 1 species